rnacentral:rRNA from 1 species
CCGGCGACCGGCGCACGGUGAGUAACACGUAUGCAACCUGGCCGUGACAGAUGGAUAACCGGGAGAAAUCCCGCCUAAUACAACAUAAUGCCGGGAGGGACAUCCCCUGCCGGUCAAAGGGGGCGACCCCGGUCAUGGAUGGGCAUGCGGCGCAUUAGGUAGUUGGUGGGGCAACGGCCCACCAAGCCGACGAUGCGUAGGGGUUCUGAGAGGAAGGUCCCCCACAUUGGAACUGAGACACGGUCCAAACUCCUACGGGAGGCAGCAG